AUUUGGCUCAAUCCUACUCUAAUUCAAUAUGAUUAUUGAAUAUAGAGUAUUAUAUGGAAACCAAUCCUAGUCCACCUAGGAUUCCAAUUUAAAUUAGGAUCCACCAAAAUAAAUCCUUAUGAGAUCCUUUUUAUUUUCCAUAAAUCCGGUGUAUGAACCAAAUCAAUAAAAAAGAAGGUAUAUCUUUAACAUGGCAGUCAUAUUCUU
rnacentral:lncRNA from 1 species